UACGUAGGGGGCAAGCGUUGUCCGGAAUUAUUGGGCGUAAAGAGCGCGUAGGCGGUCCGAUAAGUCGGCUGUGAAAGUCAAGGGCUCAACCCUUGAAAGCCGGCCGAUACUGUCGGACUAGAGUCCGGAAGAGGAAAGUGGAAUUCCACGUGUAGCGGUGAAAUGCGUAGAGAUGUGGAGGAACACCAGUGGCGAAGGCGACUUUCUGGUCUGUAACUGACACUGAGGCGCGAAAGCGUGGGGAGCGAACAGG
rnacentral:rRNA from 1 species